rnacentral:rRNA from 1 species
AGUAGACGUUCAGAGUUUGAUCCUGGCUCAGGAUGAACGCUGGCGGCAUGCCUAAGACAUGCAAGUCGAACGAAACGGCCCAUUGAAUACUGAGUACUUGUACAAAGUUUGAUUUGGAUUUUCCGUUUAGUGGCAGACGGGUGAGUAACACGUAAGUAAUCUACCUCAAAGUUUGGGAUAACGUUUGGAAACGGACGCUAAUACCGGAUGAUUUAUAUUUAGAUAACUUUAUAUACUAAAAGGAGCUUUUGCUUUGCUUUGAGAUGAGCUUGCGGCGUAUUAACUAGUUGGUGAGGUAAUGGCUCACCAAGGUGACGAUGCGUAGCCGAGCUGAGAGGCUAAUCGGCCACAUUGGGACUGAGACACGGCCCAA